UCCGGUGGUACAGGAUGGGCCCGCGUCUGAUUAGCUAGUUGGUGAGGUAACGGCCCACCAAGGCGACGAUCAGUAGCCGGCUUGAGAGAGUGAACGGCCACAUUGGGACUGAGACACGGCCCAAACUCCUACGGGAGGCAGCAGUGGGGAAUAUUGCACAAUGGGGGAAACCCUGAUGCAGCAACGCCGCGUGAGUGAAGAAGUAUUUCGGUAUGUAAAGCUCUAUCAGCAGGGAAGAAAAUGACGGUACCUGACUAAGAAGCACCGGCUAAAUACGUGCCAGCAGCCGCGGUAAUACGUAUGGUGCAAGCGUUAUCCGGAUUUACUGGGUGUAAAGGGAGCGCAGGCGGUUUGGCAAGUCUGAUGUGAAAAUCCGGGGCUCAACCCCGGAACUGCAUUGGAAACUGUCAGACUAGAGUGUCGGAGAGGUAAGUGGAAUUCCUAGUGUAGCGGUGAAAUGCGUAGAUAUUAGGAGGAACACCAGUGGCGAAGGCGGCUUACUGGACGAUAACUGACGCUGAGGCUCGAAAGCGUGGGGAGCAAACAGGAUUAGAUACCCUGGUAGUCCACGCCGUA
rnacentral:rRNA from 1 species